GACGAACGCUGGCGGCGUGCUUAACACAUGCAAGUCGAACGGAAAGGCCCUGCUCUUGUGGGGCGUUCGAGUGGCGAACGGGUGUGUAACACGCGAGUAACCUAUCCUUGACUUUGGGAUACCUCCAGGAAACUGGGGUUAAUAUCGGACAUGAGCUCCUGCUGCAUGGUGGGGGUUGGAAAGUUUCGGCGGUUGGGGAUGGACUCGCGGCUUAUCAGCUUGUUGGUGGGGUAGUGGCUUACCAAGGCUUUGACGGGUAGCCGGCCUGAGAGGGUGACCGGCCCCAUUGGGACUGAGAUACGGCCCGGACUCCUACGGGAGGCAGCGGUGGGGGUUAUUGCACGAUGGGCGGAAGCCUGAUGCAGCGACGCCGCGUGCGGGAUGACGGCCUUCGGGUUGUAAACCGCUUUCGCCUGUGACGAAGCGUGAGUGACGGUAAUGAAUAAGAAAGCACCGGCUAACUACGUG
rnacentral:rRNA from 1 species